GGGGGAUUAGCUCAGUUGGUAGAGCGCCUGCUUUGCACGCAGGAGGUCAGGAGUUCGAAUCUCCUAUCCUCCACCA
rnacentral:tRNA from 1 species